rnacentral:misc_RNA from 1 species
AACGCACAUUGCGCCCUUUGGUAUUCCGAAGGGCAUGCCUGUUCGAGCGUCAUUAUCAACCCUCAAGCCUGUGCUUGAUGUUGGACGGCUUGGUUGAGUCCCCCGGACUGGACCCCUCCUAAAGACAAUGACGGCGGCCUGUGGUUCCCCCGGUACACUGAGCUUUUAACUAGGCACGUAUCGGACAAGGGCGCCCAGGACCCGGUCCCCCCGUGCCUCCCGGCACACUUCUCAAGGUUGACCUCGGAUCAGGUAGGAAUACGCGCUGAACUUAA